rnacentral:rRNA from 1 species
CCUACGGGAGGCAGCAGUGGGGAAUAUUGGACAAUGGGCGAAAGCCUGAUCCAGCCAUGCCGCGUGUGUGAAGAAGGCCUUCGGGUUGUAAAGCACUUUCAGUGGGGAAGAAAGCCUUGGGGCUAAUACCCUCGAGGAAGGACAUCACCCACAGAAGAAGCACCGGCUAACUCCGUGCCAGCAGCCGCGGUAAUACGGAGGGUGCGAGCGUUAAUCGGAAUUACUGGGCGUAAAGCGCGCGUAGGCGGUCUGAUAAGCCGGUUGUGAAAGCCCCGGGCUCAACCUGGGAACGGCAUCCGGAACUGUCAGGCUAGAGUGCAGGAGAGGAAGGUAGAAUUCCCGGUGUAGCAGUGAAAUGCGUAGAGAUCGGGAGGAAUACCAGUGGCGAAGGCGGCCUUCUGGACUGACACUGACGCUGAAGUGCGAAAGCGUGGGUAGCAAACAGGAUUAGAUACCCUGGUAGUC